rnacentral:rRNA from 1 species
UACAGAGGGUGCAAGCGUUGUUCGGAAUUAUUGGGCGUAAAGCGCGUGUAGGCGGCUUUGCAAGUCGGGUGUGAAAGCCCUCAGCUCAACUGAGGAAGUGCGCCCGAAACUGCAGAGCUUGAGUACCGGAGAGGAUGGUGGAAUUCCCCAAGUAGAGGUGAAAUUCGUAGAUAUGGGGAGGAACACCGGUGGCGAAGGCGACCAUCUGGACGGAUACUGACGCUGAGACACGAAAGCGUGGGUAGCAAACAGG